GAGGGGCGGUCUGUCGCGUCCUUGGCUUUAUGGCCAUGCGAUGAGGAACGUCCGGGCAACGCAGAGCACCAUACUACCUAACGGGUAGCAGGCCGCGAGGUUUGAGUAGCGUAACAGAGAAUAACAGCCUCCUAGACCUCGGUCUAGCGAUGGUGAUGGUGAAAAGGUGAGGUAAGAGCUCACCGGUCCUGUUGGCGACAGCAGGAGCCGUACGCCUUAUGGGUUGCAAGAUCAUGUAAACCGACGUUAUGAGGGUUGCUCGCCCCAGUCGGAGGGUAGAUUGCUAGAGCCAUGCAGAGAUGUAUGGUCGAGAUAAAUGACAGACACCAUGGGGCACGUAUCCGUGGCACAGAACCCGGCUUAUAGCCCCUCUG
rnacentral:RNase_P_RNA from 1 species